AUUGAACGCUGGCGGCAUGCCUUACACAUGCAAGUCGAACGGUAACAGGUCUUCGGAUGCUGACGAGUGGCGAACGGGUGAGUAAUACAUCGGAACGUGCCUAGUAGUGGGGGAUAACUACUCGAAAGAGUGGCUAAUACCGCAUGAGAUCUACGGAUGAAAGCAGGGGAUCGCAAGACCUUGUGCUAAGAGAGCGGCCGAUGUCAGAUUAGGUAGUUGGUGGGAUAAAAGCGUACCAAGCCGACGAUCUGUAGCUGGUCUGAGAGGACGAUCAGCCACACUGGGACUGAGACACGGCCCAGACUCCUACGGGAGGCAGCAGUGGGGAAUUUUGGACAAUGGGCGCAAGCCUGAUCCAGCAAUGCCGCGUGCAGGAUGAAGGCCUUCGGGUUGUAAACUGCUUUUGUACGGAACGAAAAGCCCCGGGUUAAUACCCUGGGGUCAUGACGGUACCGUAAGAAUAAGCACCGGCUAACUACGUGCCAGCCGCCGCCGUAA
rnacentral:rRNA from 1 species